rnacentral:sRNA from 1 species
UAAUCUUGUUAUGGCGAGGCUCCUGAAUAAACAUAAGUUAUCGCCCUGGUGGUAUCGAGAGAGACCAUCACAGGGAAAUACAGGCAUCCAUCGAAUCAAGGUGUUGCCAAGAUAACUUCUGACGGUGUAGACCGUACAGAUACGUUGUUCAGUGCUAAAACCGGGACGUAGGG